rnacentral:rRNA from 2 species
GACAGAGGGUGCAAACGUUGCUCGGAUUUACUGGGCGUAAAGCGCAUGUAGGCGGGCGAUUAAGUCGGGUGUGAAAUCCCUGGGCUCAACCUAGGAACUGCAUCCGAAACUGAUCACCUUGAGUAGUGGAGAGGAAAGCGGAAUUCCGGGUGUAGAGGUGAAAUUCGUAGAUAUCCGGAGGAACACCAGUGGCGAAGGCGGCUUUCUGGACACUAACUGACGCUGAGAUGCGAAAGCGUGGGGAGCAAACAGG